rnacentral:lncRNA from 1 species
AUCCUUACAUGUAUAUGUAAUUAGAUACUUUUUCAAGUAAAUUUAAAAGGAAAGUUUGUUUUCCGUAAAAUAUUUUAAAAUGAAGUAUGUAUCACUUAGAUAUUUAAAUGUUCAUUAUUUAUUUGUUCUGAUAUGUUGUUCAAAAAGUGGGACUAAUGAAUAUUAGCUUUCAUUUAGUAAAAAUCCAUUGCCAGGACGCUGUAUUUGUUACUUUGUGAUUUGUGAAAGGUGAACUGUUAAUUUCCGGGUUCGCAUGCUAGUUCCCACAUACUGGAUUCAGAUUCAUUGGUAAUGGAGGCCUUGUGUACUAUGCAAUACAAAGAAAACUACAUUCAUGUGUCAACAUUUGCUGUUAUUAACAGGGAUAUACACACAUCAUUGUGGAUUAUAAAUGAAAGUUGGAUCUUUAAAAGCGACCACGUUACCUAACUGGAAUAGUGUUUUGAAGGAGAUUUUCGUAUUACUUUGAAUAUUACAAAUAUAUGGGCAUUUGUUUUCGUAAUGUGAAAUGAUAACGUUUCUCGAAAAUGUCAGGACAGAAACAUUCAAUAAUUACAUUCUAACCAUAUCACGUUGUGUAAGAUGUGCAAACAGUGACAAAAAAUCAUGAUGAAAUAUAUUGAAAAUCUUGUAAUCUUUCACAAUUUGUAACUAUUUCCAUGAUGACUAAUGGCAAUACAUGCAAAAAAACAUAUAUUUUGUCCGUUUUCAGAAAGUUAAAUGCAAAAGGAAUUGUAUUCUAUUUCACACAGUAUCAGUUACCUUGGACAUUCAUUUUCUGAAACUUAUCAGAAUUUUACCGUUAUCUUGGCUUUCCUGUAUAUAUUUAUUCUUUAUUCAUAUACAUGUAUAAUUACAUAACACAGUGCUUAACAGUGCUUGAAUUCUGAUAGCAACAGCAAUACUCAUCUUUUCAUCAGAUUUCAGAAUGUCUAGAAUUUUGAGUGCAAUGUUAUCACUCAUUUUAUUUAUCUGAUUUAAGAUAAAUACACACAAUAUCAACAUAGGUCGCUUAUUAGAAUUCUGGUAGCCAUAACAACAGUCAGAUUUUCUUCGGUCAGAUUUCAAUUGUUUUGUAACGGCUUAUCGGAAUUUGGAUAGCAACAUUGACACACAUUAUUUAUUUCCUCUGUUUAUAGUUAUAUAAUUCAGAUAGUAAAGUCAAUGCUCUUUUUUCUACUGCCUGCUGUCAGAUGGUGUUUAUCUGAAUUUGGAUAGCAAACGCAACGCACAGUUUCUCUACUGUUCGGUUCCAGAUCGUUUUACGCUGUGGCUUAGGCGAAUUCGGAUAACAACGAUAAUACAUACACAAGAUCUAUUUCAUAUAUUCCUGAUGAGACGCAAAACUUAUAGUUAUUUCAAUUCAGAUAGCGAAGUCAAUGCUAGGUUUUUUGAACUGCAUGAUUGCUUAUCUGAAUUUGGAUAGCAAAAACGAAACACAAUUUUUAGAUAGUCAAUAAUGUAUAGACUUGUCUGAAUUCGGAUAAUAAUACAAACGCACAAUUUGGUCUUAUUUGUGUAUUUACUUGUUCGUUUAAUAAUCAGGUACAAGGUUUCUUCCGUAAAUUAUCGUAUUUGGUAAAGUGUAUAUUCGCAUAGGACAGCGUAGCAUAAUGAAUAUUGGAUUUAAUCUGACAGUAUUUUGUAUUUGUAUAAUUAAUAUAAAAUGAAUUGAAGAUAA